UACGAAGGGGACUAGCGUUGUUCGGAAUCACUGGGCGUAAAGCGCACGUAGGCGGAUAUGUCAGUCAGGGGUGAAAUCCCGGGGCUCAACCUCGGAACUGCCUUUGAUACAGCAUAUCUUGAGUCCGAUAGAGGUGGGUGGAAUUCCCAGUGUAGAGGUGAAAUUCGUAGAUAUUGGGAAGAACACCGGUGGCGAAGGCGGCUCUCUGGACCGAUACUGACGCUGAGGCGCGAAAGCGUGGGGAGCAAACAGG
rnacentral:rRNA from 1 species